rnacentral:rRNA from 1 species
GACGAACGCUGGCGGCGUGCUUAACACAUGCCAGUCGAACGGAAAGGCCCUGCUUUUGUGGGGUGCUCGAGUGGCGAACGGGUGAGUAACACGUGAGUAACCUGCCCUUGACUUUGGGAUAACUUCAGGAAACUGGGGCUAAUACCGGAUAGGAGCUCCUGCUGCAUGGUGGGGGUUGGAAAGUUUCGGCGGUUGGGGAUGGACUCGCGGCUUAUCAGCUUGUUGGUGGGGUAGUGGCUUACCAAGGCUUUGACGGGUAGCCGGCCUGAGAGGGUGACCGGCAACAUGGGGACGGAGAUACGGCCCAGACUCCUACGGGAGGCAGCAGGGGGGAAUAUUGCACAAGGGGCGGAAGCCUGAUGCAGCAACGCCGCGUGCGGGAUGACGGCCUUCGGGUUGUAAACCGCUUUCGCCUGUGACGAAGCGUGAGUGACGGUAAUGGGAAAAGAAGCACCGGCGAACUACGU